AGAAACACAGGGCUCACGCUCAGUCACACGCACAUCCACGAACCACUCACACAGCGUGCUCUCACCCACACAACUCCCUCGCUGUGAGCAGCAAUCCUGGGUGAGAGUUUUCAUUGCUCUUCCUUUUGACUUCUGUCUCCAGAAACAACACACAUGAAAAGGCAGUGGACCAGGGAGGAACUGGCAGGGAAGGGAGUAGUGAGGCCACCAGAGGCCUCCUUGGCUUCUGGUCCUGGCCACUCCUGGCUACAGACACUCUACACAUGUGUACACACGGACCGACAUGGGUGCCCACACGUGUAGAGGCAUGCCCACAUUGACCCUCAGUGCACAGAGUCGAGUCAGUGCAGGUAACACUUGAUUGGCAGGCAUUUGAGAUGGAGGGGCAAGAAAGGGCAGAGGUCCAGCCUGGACAUUCUGCUGGUCAGUUUCCUGCUUCCAUCCUGCCCUGCCUGUGAGUUCUAAGUUCCUUGUUGUCUAGAGGAAGACACAUUCAUCCCUUUGGGAAAACUCAUGCCGACAGCAAGGUUGAAAAGUGCCAAAGAAUUCUUUAAAAUGAAGAAUGAUGUCUUUCCUGCCUUUGACCAGAAGUACCUGGGAAUCUUGGGGUGAAGAACCUAGAGUUCCAGGAGGUGUGACUUCUUCAACAGAAAAAGGUUCAGGGCUGCAGAGAAUCCUGGCAGGCCCAAGAUUCUUGUGGUUUUUUUGAGGUGGAGCAAGUUCCUCUGCAUCUGAGCAGCCGCAGCAGGAAUUGAGGCCCAGCAACCGCUGGGGGACUUGAGGCCCACAUGAUGUUCCUGGGGAAACCUCUUCAUCCCCGGUGCAUAGCACGCCACCCAGCAGGGCAGACCCUUGACGAAUAUGAAAUGAAUGUCUGCAUGCGGCAGAUUCCCAGCGGGCUCUUGUACCUGCUCACCUCUCAGCCCCUAGGAAGAUACCACAUGGCCCUCUGGGGUCAGGUGCCCCUGGGGCUCACCUCUGUCACUGGUAUAGUAGUGGCCUGUUGGCCACCAACCUGCCCAGCUCCAAAAUGAAGCUCUGGGCAGCCACAGGAUGCAUCCUGGCAGUGCCAACCCCAUAGUUCAGGCCUUUCUUCCCGAGACUGAAAGAUGACAAAAUCCAUGGGACAGCCUACUUCUUGGCCAUCCCUGGAGUCAGUCAUUCCUAGGUUUCCAGGGUAACUGCUCGGUCAUCCCCUCUCCUGGGGCCCUAGUGCUGUUUCUGAAGCUCUGGCCUCAGCUUCCCUCCACCCUCAGGGACCAGCUGGGGGACCGGAAGAGCACAUUUCAAGGGAUGGAAGUCUGGACUGGGUGUGGGGGCUACCCUCCCUCUCCCAGCCACACUCCCUCCCUCCCUGUGAGACAGGAAGACGGUGCCAAGGCUGUGGCCUCCACCU
rnacentral:lncRNA from 1 species